rnacentral:rRNA from 1 species
CUUAGAUAUUUUAAAUACAAAAAAUAUUCGCCAGAGAAUUACGAGCUAAACAUGCUUAAAACUCUAAGGACUUGGCGGUACCUCAAACCCACCUAGAGGAGCCUGUUCUAUAAUCGACAAUCCACGAUUCACCUCACCAUCUCUUGCCAACUCCGCCUAUAUACCGCCGUCAUAGCCUACCUUAUGAAAGACAAAAAGUAAGCAAAAUAAUCUAAGCAAUUAAUAAAUCAGGUCAAGGUGUAGCUUACUGAGAUGGAAGAAAUGGGCUACAUUUUCUAUAUUAGAAAUAACUACGGAAAGAUACCCUGAAAUAGGUUCUACAAGCAGGAUUUAGCAGUAAACUGGGAAAAGAG